rnacentral:lncRNA from 1 species
GACUAACAAAGCAGAGUGGGUGUCUACUUUCCAAAUGAGCCAGAAAGCUCUAGCUGCCUGGGGUAAAAGGGCUAGAGGUCUGCUGAAGUUCUCCCCAGUGGUUUCCUAGAGAAAGGUGAGUAACCGGGAAUGCCUUAGGCAACGACUGAAAACAACUGAGUCAUCUGUAGUCAAGACUGUCAGCUAACCAGAUUUGGCUCGGACGAGUUUGCGUUCAUCUGUCCACUCUCCACGCGGCCUUCCAUCUUAGGAUUUGCCACUUCUUUAGCACCGCUCCCCUGACACCAGUGAUCUGGGUUACCUCACUCAGGAUGAUCUUUUCUGGUUCCAUCCAUUUUCCAGCAAAUUUCAUGAUGCCAUUGUUUUUAACAGCUGAGUAACAAUGUGUACUACAUACAUGCAAGUGUCUGUGGAAGCCAGAAAGCAUCUGAUACCCUAGACCUGGAGUUACUCAUGGUGUGAGCCAGCCCCUGACAGGGAUUCUGAGAACUGCUCCUUCACAAGACAGGCCUGGAGACCAAGAUGAUGUUACUUCUGUCUGCUGGGUCAGGCCUGAAACUUCCCAACCAUGACCUUGACUGUGUUUCUUGGAGGGGAGCACUCUACCAGGGCUGUUCACACACAGCAGUUCUAGAACAGAUGGUCUCUGGACUCCUUCUAUGACCACUGUCAGAUCUUCUGUCAAACUGCAGCAUCCAGAUGUGAGUACGGAACACUGCUUAUGUCCUGUUUAGCAUUGCUGUGUUCUGGCCCAGACUAGUCUUCCUUUCUCAUCUCUGGAUCUGUUUCAAGACCACUGGAGUCCAUAUGCCAGCCAUCAACUGUAGUCCAAGAGCUUUUCGAAAAGCUGUCCACUGCCUAAUUUUAAAAUAUCAGCCUGUAUAUUUUGCUAUUUUCUUUGUAACUAUUGCCAAUAACUUACGACCACUGGUCUUGCUAUGAAAAAUCCUCC